AGGAUAAACGCUGGCGGCGUGCCUAACACAUGCAAGUCGAACGUCCUACGCAAGUAGGGAGUGGCGGACGGGUGAGUAACACGUGGGCAAUCUACCUUUCGGUGAGGAAUACCGGCGAGAAAUCGCCGACAAUACCGCAUACGCUUCGCAAGAAGCAAAGUCGCAAGACGCCGGAGGAGGAGCCUGCGCCCGAUUAGCUCGUUGGUGGAGUAAUGGUCUACCAAGGCGACGAUCGGUAGCUGGUCUGAGAGGAUGAUCAGCCACACUGGGAUUGAGAACGGCCCAGACUCCUACGGGGGGCAGCAGUGGGGAAUAUUGGACAAUGGGCGCAAGCCUGAUCCAGCCAUGCCGCGUGGAUGAUGAAGGCCUUAGGUGUAAAGUCUUUAACGGGAAGAUAAUGACGGUACCGUAGAAUAAGCCCGGCUAACUUCGUGCCAGCAGCCGC
rnacentral:rRNA from 1 species